GGGUAAGGGCUCUUCACAGCACUUCAGGCCCGCUGACAGUUUCUAUAAAAACAGCAGGUGUCUUGGCUGGGUCUCAGCAUUAAGAACCUUGCCAGAAACAAAGGCCUGCAUACAGGGAUAUUUAUAAUUUAUGCCUGCAUUGCUAUGUAGAGACUCGCUUGGAAUCUGCUCCAGGACUCCAACUUCUUGUCUGACGGAGACCAGGAAAGGGUGGGAGACAAGGAAUAAAGCAGCAGCAAUGACAAUACUCUUGCUUUCCAAGGAAGGGCUUGAGAACCCACUUAUUAGCACCUAAUGAAGCAGCACAUGCUUCAGUGUUCUUCCCCUCUCAAAACAGAAGCUCUGGAAGUUGCCAUAACAGAAAGGAGCUCUCCGUAUCAGCACUUCUCAUGCACCUCAGAGAUUGUUCCCACCCAGGAACAGUGCUCCAAUGCCAAUGAAAAGAAGUAUACCACCCUACCCUGCUUGCCAAGGGACAGCUGCUGCAAGUAUGAAAUCACCACUGUUUUGCAAAGCAGUAGCAACAUUGUUUAAGAAGACAAGAGUUUAAGGAUGAAAGAAUGAGAAUACCCUUCCAUUUAGUAGCUAUUAUUAUUGUUCAUUGUAAGGAACAAUCUUCUACAGCCCAAGUUGGCAAAACCUGUGUGGAAAGUUCAAUUUGAAGCAAGGAGCAGCACUGACCUUACAUAAUCACUGAAGAAUAGCCUUCUCAAUAAUUUCACGUUACAGGAACAAAGCUGUAGUCCUAUUGGUGCGAGAGUGUGUUUACACUGCAAACCACUAUAGUUCCUUACAACAACAACAAAAAUUUUUUCCAUGCUGUAAGAUUACACAAGGUUCAAAUUUCAUACCAUUCAACUUGUCUGUCAAAAUUCACCAUCUUUUGAAGGGCAGGGAAACCUGAGUGUUCACCAGCUACUGUUUAUUCAUAAUUCACACAACUCUCCAAAUGAAAAUAUGAAAAUUUGGGGGGGUGAUUCUCUUAUUUCAGGACUAACUCCACGUUUUCCAUCCUUACAGGAUAAAGAACACAUAGGUAGGCAGCAAGAAAGACGUAUACUUUCUCACUCAAAGAAGAGCGUACUAAAGAUGAGGUACUACUGGCAAGGCCAUACGAGCACGGCUAUGCAUCUGGAUUUCCAAAGGAAUAUUGGGAGAACGGUUUCUCUAGCUCACCAGUAUUUUCUGAAAAUCAAUUGCACAGCUCCUCUGAUGAACUAUCUUUAAAACACACUGGGGGGAGGGAGAGGGCGGUGCAUGGAGAGACUUUCGGUAGCAUUGCCCUCAUGAGCAGUCCUGAAAUGUACACAAUUCAUUUUGAAAUCAAGUAGAUAUAGCAGACAACAGGCUGAUUUCAAAAUAGCUCAGAAAGAAUGAAAUGAAAUCAUGACAAACACACCCAGCUAUGACUACCAUGAUAGAUGUAUUAGAAAUGCAAUUAAGAUAUUUCAUUUACGUCCGCAGUGAAACCAUUACCUGGUAUGUAAAUUUCACAGCUUCAUAGCAACUAGCCAAUUAGCUGAGAAGUCAGAGAAUUUCCUGCCCUUUCCCCCAUUAGCAUUCUGCACACUGUGCUCUCCUGCUAGAUCUGCUAUUCUUACACCAAGCCCUUUGACCUCUUGACGUGGGCGCUGGGAAAUACCAACUCUUUUAGAUACACACAGUGGACUUUCAUCACUUACGCUUACACUACUCCUUCAAAUCGGCAUUUUAAAUACAUGGUCUCUGUGUCUCUAUUCUUCCCCUCCCUCCACAUACAUGCCCUCAAAAGAUACUCCACCAUUUAUUUACAGGCAUUUCUAUACCGUACUAUUCAAGGGCCUAUUGAUUUAUGGCACAAUACCAGAUCUGGACCACGCUUAUAUUUAAUUUUUCUCAAAGAUGCGGGACAAUCAACUGAAAACUGAUUAGUUUUAAAUCAUUGCGUGCUCGCUGGUAACACUCCUGGGACGAGGAAGUUUAAGUCUGAGAAAUUUUAAUUGCAAAUUAUUUGUCCCUAAGGUGUUCCAGACUCUAAAAAAGUAAUCCACUGCUUUCUGCUGUGCUUAUAAAAUUCUGUGCUUUUUACACUGAUCGUACAGUCAUUUGUUUUAAUAGGAUAUCAUACUGCCAAUGUUAAACCUGUAAAGCUGAAAUGCACAGACAAAAGUCUCAGCUCCUGGGUACAUUAUCCUACAUAUCUAAUUAGUAAAUGAUAUGUUACUCAUGAAUUAUGAGGAAAGUGGAAGCCUGAAGGAGGAAGAUAAAGGGUUAAGUCUCAAUUUUGGGAUCUACAUAUUAUUAAAAGUAGCAAUUUAGCUUUAUAGGAUACAUUUCUAUCUUUGUAUGCAGUACUGUUGUAGCCAUGUCAGUCCCAGGAUAUUAGAGAGACAAAGUGGGGGAGGUAAUAUCUUUAAUUGGACCAACCAGCUCUUCCUCAGAUCUGGGAAAGGUACUCAGAGUGUCACAGCUAAAUACAAGGUCGAACAGAUAGCGUAGCAUAAGUAGACACCACAUUCUAAAGAACCAUUCAAGGUGAAGCGACCCUGUAACAUCCCUACAGACACAGGACAAAAAGGGGAGUAAGUGGAUUACAGAUUGUUAUAAAACAACAUAAAUCCAGUGUCAUCAUUAAGACCAUGAUUUUUAGUGUCUUGUAAAGUUAUAAAUGUAAGCUCCCAGGCUUGUCUUUUGAAAGUACUGUGCAGGUUUCCUUUGAGGAUGAGGACUGACAGUGAUCAGUCUAUAAUUGACCUUUGUGGGAAAAAAAGAGCAACUCUGUGUAAACUCGAAAGCUUGUCUCUUACCAAUAGAAGGUGGUCCAAUAAAAUAUUACCUCAUCCACCUUGUCUCUGAUUAUGAUUAAGGCAUUUUAGGGUGUGUGGUCCCAGAUUAAAUUCAGUUUGUUUGUUUUUUCAUAUUUCUUACCUAUCAUAGCAUUAC